CUGAGCGCCCCCCAGGCGCCCUCCCCGCCCCCCAGACCUUUUACUGGGUCACACCGGCAAAAUCCUUCUCUGUCCUAUAAGGUGACAUUCACGGAGUCGGGACGCGGCUCUCUUUGGGGGGCGGUAUUCAGCCUACCACGAAUGGCCACCAACCAUCCCUCGACUCUGUUUAUGCCCACGCCCCACGGAUCAAGAGGCAGCAUCCACUUGCGUUCCCCCGCGGCAAUCUUGUGACCGGCUUUGACCGACACAAUGUAGUCGAAAGUGACGCGAGCCACUGUGGUGGCUUCUACAGUGGCUCCCUUGCAACCUGGCCGCCGCCACGUCAGAGAGAGGUCGGUCUGGGCCACCCCGGGGAGGAGGGGGGCCGCUGGAAGAGAGACGGAGACCUUUGGAGACAGAGAGACGGGGAGAGACAGCAGCGCAGGGACACGAGGCCAAGGAAUCGUCAAGAAAGUCACGGGCUCCCGGCCGCAGGCCCGGCGAGGCUUUGAGCCACACGUGUCGGUUACCUCAGACGCCAGCCCCGCGGGGCCUGUAGAUAACUGGGACCCCAGCUGACACCCGGGCGCCGUCCGGGGACAGACCCCGAGCCAAGACCACCCAGGUCAAGCCACAGAGCCCACGAGAACUCACCCGUUGCUUCAAGCCAGUAAGUUUUGGGAGUGGCUUGUUACGCAGCAAGAGUCGAGCAGGGCAGGGGGCUUGGAGGCUCAGGGAACCACGGGUGAGGAGUAGGACACGGGGCAGUUGGGGCGGGGUCUUAGGCGGAAGGUCUUUUGGGGGGAAACAGGCUAGAACGUUCGGGAGAAACAGGCCAAGCACUCGGCGGGGGGGGCGUUUGGAAAGAUGAGGGCGAGGACGAGUGGGUGUCGAGUUCGGGUCCCGCCGGGGGCCUCGAUCUCAGAACAGCGGGCGUCACGGGUCCAGGACGCUCGGGCGUUAAUUUCGGGGUCGGUUUCAUCCCGCACCACCGUUCUGAUCAGAGUUUCCCGGCAGCCGCUGGGCAGGCUUCCUCCAAGGUUUCUGCCUUAGACGUUGCUCACGGUGCCUCGACAUCCGCUCUCCCACUUUUCCCCGAAACAUCCCCUGAGAUUUUAAGCAUGACGACUCCUUCCGGUUGGAAUG
rnacentral:lncRNA from 1 species